rnacentral:rRNA from 1 species
UACGUAGGGGGCGAGCGUUGUCCGGAAUCAUUGGGCGUAAAGCGUCGUGUAGGCGGCUCGGUAAGUCUGCUGUGAAAGUCCAGGGCUCAACCCUGGGAUGCCGGUGGAUACUGUCGAGCUCGAGUCCGGAAGAGGCGAGUGGAAUUCCUGGUGUAGCGGUGAAAUGCGCAGAUAUCAGGAGGAACACCAAUGGCGAAGGCAGCUCGCUGGGACGUGACUGACGCUGAGACGCGAAAGCGUGGGGAGCAAACAGG